AGUGAACGCUGGCGGCAGGCCUAACACAUGCAAGUCGAACGACAGCACAGUAAGAGCUUGCUCUUACGGGUGGCGAGUGGCGGACGGGUGAGGAAUACAUCGGAAUCUACUUUUUCGUGGGGGAUAACGGAGGGAAACUGACGCUAAUACCGCAUACGACCUACGGGUGAAAGCAGUGGAUCUUCGGACCUUGCGCGAUUGAAUGAGCCGAUGUCGGAUUAGCUAGUUGGCGGGGUAAAGGCCCACCAAGGCGACGAUACGUAGCUGGUCUGAGAGGAUGAUCAGCCACACUGGAACUGAGACACGGUCCAGACUCCUACGGGAGGCAGCAGUGGGGAAUAUUGGGCAAUGGGCGCAAGCCUGAUCCAGCCAUACCGCGUGAGUGAAGAAGGCCUUCGGAUUGUAAAGCCCUUUUGUUGGGAAAGAAAAGCAGCAGAUUAAUACCCCGCUGUUCUGACGGUACCCAAACAAUAAGCACCGGCUAACUUCGUG
rnacentral:rRNA from 1 species